UACGUAGGCAGCGAGCGUUUGUUCGGAAUUACUGGGCGUAAAGAGUGUGUAGGCGGUGCUCCCAGUCUGUUGUGAAAUCUCCCGGCUUAACUGGGAGGGUGCAGCGGAAACUAGAGUGCUAGAGGGUGGGAGAGGUAAGGCGGAAUUCCUGGUGUAGCGGUGAAAUGCGUAGAUAUCAGGAGGAACACCUGUGGUGUAGACAGCUUACUGGACCACUUCUGACGCUGAGACACGAAAGCGUGGGUAGCAAACAGG
rnacentral:rRNA from 1 species